rnacentral:rRNA from 1 species
AUGAACGCUGACAGAAUGCUUAACACCUGCAAGUCUUUGGUGAAGCUGUGCUUGCACAGCCUAGCCAAGGCGGACGGGUGAGUAACGCGUAAGGAACUUGCCCUGCAGUCAGGGAUAACAGACGGAAACGACUGAUAAGACCUGGUAAAGUCAGGCGGACUCAUGUCCAGCCUGAUGAAAAGAGAUGCUGCAGGAGAGCCUUGCGUCCUAUUAGCUUGUUGGUGGGGUAACGGCCCACCAAGGCAAUGAUAGGUAGCCGGCCUGAGAGGGUGGACGGCCACAAGGGGACUGAGAUACGGCCCUUACUCCUACGGGAGGCAGCAGUGGGGAAUAUUGGACAAUGGGGGCAACCCUGAUCCAGCAAUUCUGUGUGCACGAUGAAGGUUUUCGGAUUGUAAAGUGCUUUCAGCAGGGAAGAAAAAAAUGACGGUACCUGCAGAAGAAGCGACGGCUAAAUACGUG